rnacentral:rRNA from 1 species
UACGGGGGGGGCAAGCGUUGUUCGGAAUUACUGGGCGUAAAGGGUUCGUAGGUGGCUUGCUAAGUCAGACGUGAAAUCCCUCAGCUCAACUGGGGAACUGCGUCUGAGACUGGCGAGCUUGAGUGCAGGAGAUGAAUGCGGAAUUCCAGGUGUAGCGGUGAAAUGCGUAGAUAUCUGGAGGAACACCGGUGGCGAAGGCGGCGUCCUGGACCAACACUGACGCUGAUGAGCGAAAGCCAGGGGAGCAAACGGG